ACCCGCCGAACUUAAGCAUAUCAUUAAGCGGAGGAAAAGAAACUAACCAGGAUUCCCCUAGUAACAGCGAGCGAACAGGGACCAGCCCAUCCAUGAACCACCGAGCGGAACCUACACACAGUGCACUGCUCGGUGCUCUUUGGGGUCUUAGAAGCUUCAUAAUCGCCAUCAAUCGCGUCAUGACGAAGUUCCGUUGAAUCGUUCACCAGAGAGGGUGCCAGUCCCGUAGUCAACGUGUCGCGAUGUUGUUUCGCUUUUAAAUAUGAAAGCGUAGCCAUUUCGUCGAAAGCUUCUACAGAGUCGGACUGCUUGAGAGUGCAGUCCAAAGAAGGUGGUAGCUCCCAUCUAAGGCUAAAUACCUGCAAGAGACCGAUAGCGCACAAGUACCGUGAGGGAAAGAUGAAAAAGUACCCCGAAAAGGGGGGUGAAAAGAUCCUGAAAUCAGUAAGGUGGAAGCAUUCAUAGAUACCAUUUACUAUACUAUCGUGUUUUUAACGGUAUAGAUCCAGCACCGAUUCUACAGGUAAGGAGCUACUCGUCACAUGUGCCGAGUCGUACCACUCCCCUACCUAACCGAUCGUGAUAACGCAGCUACCAUCUUAUAUGCGGACGUGCGCAUAGAUGACGCGCGUGCUGGGGAAAUAUCUAUGAAUGACCCGUCUUGAAACACGGACCAAGGAGUCUACCACACAUGCGAGUCGUUGCGCCGUAAGACGCAUAGGCAAAAGAAACCUGAUAAGUAGACAUACUUUCCUUAUGUCCUUUCCGGACAUGUUCCUUAUUAGGUGUACUCUUACUGUUGCAUCUAAUAUUAAUUGUUCCGGUACGAGCAUGUGUGUUAGGACCCGAAAGGUGGUGAUCUAUACCUGGGCAGGGUGAAGCCUGGAGAAAUCUAGGUGGAGGCCCGAAGGAAUGCUGACGUGCAAAUCGCUUCUCUGACCUGGGUAUAGUGGCGAAAGACCAAUCGAACCACCUAGUAGCUGGUUCCCCCCGAAGUUUCUCACAGGAUAGCUGGGACUUAGGCAGUUGCAUCGAGUAAAGAUACUGGUUGUGGUAUCCGGGGAUGCGUAUGUUCUCGGACCAUUGUCAAACUCUGAAUCGAUGUAUGUUAACCCUUGCUUAGAUGAAGGUGUCUACAACAAUGCAAGUCUCAAGUGGGCCAGUUUUGGUAAGCAGAAUUGGCGAUGCGGGAUGAACCGGGUGUUGCGUUAAAGUGUCUAACUGUGUGCUAACCUAGAUCCCAGAAAGGGUGUCACCCAGUAUAGACAGCAGGACGGUGGUCAUAGAAGUCGAAAUCCGCUAAGGAGUGUGUUAUAACUCACCUGUCGAACUGGUAGGCCCCGAUAAUGGAUGACGCUAAAGCACACGACUUAAACGCAACCGUCAAAGCGAUCGGGCUUUGGUCGGGUAGGGGGGCGUAGAUGCAGCAUCGAAGCGUCAGGUGUAAACCUACGUGGAGCAACAUCUAGUGCAGAUCUUGGUGGUAGUAGCACGUAUUCAAACGAGAACUUUGAAGACUGAAGUGGAGAAGGGUUCCGCGUGAACAGCAUUUGUGCGUGGGUAAGUCGAUCCUAAGAAUCAGGGUAGAUCCGUUUUCAUCCGGUAUUCGAAAGGGAAACAGGUUAAUAUUCCUGUACCUUGGUUAGACUCGGAGGCGGUAACGCAGGUAAGCUCGCAGACGCUUGCACUCAUCACGGGAAGAGCCCUCGUCUCUUUUUUAUGUUCAAUAUGCCCUGGAGUAAGGUGACCUUGAGAAAGGGUUACGUGAACAGCAUAGCCCGACUCGGCUUGUUGGGUCCGUUGUAUGAGGAGUAAGCCCUUGAAAAUGCGAGGGAGCAACAGGAGUCACAACCAAGAUCGUACCCAUAACCGCAUCAGGUCUCCAAGGUGAGUAGCCUCUAGUCAAUAGACCAAAGUAGGUAAGGGAAUUCGGCAAAUUAGAUCCGUAACUUCGGGAUAAGGAUUGGCUCUGAUUGUUAUGUGUACGGUUAUUGCUGCGGACGUGCGCAGUGAGGUACCUAGAAGCUGAGAAAAUACCGAGCGGUACAUAUACACAAAACGGUGGUGUUCUAGAGAGUUUGCUGUCGUGUGCCCCACAAACCAGCUUCUCGUUGGUGCUAGGAUGUACAUUCAGGUAUUGUCGCACGUCUCGCGUUAUUGGCGCGAGAGAUGAUGCUGUGGACGAGCACAGCAUGGUUGUAAUAGGUAGUUCUAUCUCCUAGGAUAUUUCGGGUAUACUCCGCCCGAUAUUAUAUCAUCACGUGCUUUAUAAACAUUACCUGCUACUGUGCUUCCUUCCAUCUAAAGCCCAUCGCGGGUGUUUCGGGUUUGUUGUAUCGGCUUCGAAAACUAAUAACUGUAUGCACGACUACAUUAGAACUGGCGCGGACAACGGGAGUCCGACUGUUUACUAAAAACGUAGCAUCGUGAUGGUCCCUGCGGAUGUUGACACGAUGUGAAUCCUGCCCAGUGCUCUGAUCGUCAAUCCGGAGAAAUUCAGGUAAGCACGGGUAAACGGCGGGAGUAACUAUGACUCUCUUAAGGUAGCUAAAUGCCUCGUCAUCUAAUUAGUGACGCGCAUGAAUGGAACAACGAGAUUCCCACUGUCCCUACCUACUAUCUAGUGAAACCACAGCCAAGGGAACGGGCUUGGAAAAAACAGCGGGGAAAGAAGACCCUGUUGAGCUUGACUCUAUUCUGGUGCUGAGCGACGUCUUAGGAGGUGUAGCAUAGGUGGGAGCAUAUUGCGAUACUGAAAUACCACUACUCUCGAGAUCGUCUCUCUCACCUCGAUACCGCGAGCAUGAAAAGGGUGUCGUGCGUCACCCCCGUGACAAUGGUACACCCAAAUCACCUCACACCAUAUUCUCGGAAGUGAUACUGUAUAUUUAUCACUGCUCGUGGAUGGUUUGCUCGCACACGAGGGACACCGCUAGAUGGGGAGUUCGGCUGGGGCGGUACAUCCGUUAAAAGACAACGCGGAUGUCCUACGAUCAGCUCACCAAGGACAGAAGCCUCGGGUGGGGUAUAAGGAUAGAAGCUGAUUUGAUGUGGAUCCCCAGUGAGGAUUCACACUGCGAAAGCAUGGCCUAUCGAUCCUUUAGUUCUUCUGGUCGUGAAGCUAGAGGUGUCAGAAAAGUUACCACAGGGAUAACUGGUUCGUGGCAGCCAAGCGUUCAUAGCGACGUUGCUUUUUGAUUCUUCGAUGUCGGCUCUUCCUGUCAUUGUGAAGCAGGAUUCACAAAGCGUUGGAUUGUUCACCCACAAAUAGGGAACGUGAGCUGGGUUUAGACCGUCGUGAGACAGGUUAGUUUUACCCUACUGUUGCUUGAUCAUGUAAUAGCAGUCGAGCUGAGUACGAGAGGAACGGUUCGAUCGGAUACUUGGUACUGCACUCGAUGGAGCCGUCGAUGGUGCGAAGCUACAUCCGCGGGUUAAUGACUGAAUGCCUCUAAAGUCAGAAACCUUGCUAAAAACA
rnacentral:rRNA from 1 species